UUUCAUGGCAUCCUUUUUGGCGAUGAAUCGUGCUUUCCCUUCUCACCGUAUGCGUGAUGAUGGGUGGCGACCCAAGCCGUAUGACCUUCUUCAUUGUUUCGCGUGCCAUGCCCGUGACGCAGAUGCAGAGGGGUUGCGUGCUGCUUUGAAGUAAAUGUGGCUGAUUUGGAGUUGCCUUGGUGCCGCGCGCACCUCGCACACCCUUGGGCAUGUUCCCCCGAUCGCCGUGCAACAUCGCUCCUUCGCUUGUCUCCGCCGAACAGGUGGGUCGUGCGGGGGAUGUGUACAUGUUGUCCAGAGGUUGCGUUACCUGGUUGAUCCUGCCAGUAGUCAUAUGCUUG
rnacentral:misc_RNA from 1 species